rnacentral:lncRNA from 1 species
CGGAGCACAGCCUGACGCAGGGAUGGGAGACCCAAAGGGAUGCUGCGGUGCUGCAAAAAACAAGACCAUUCCUUGGAAAUUCAGACUGAGGCCACACAACAGCAGAGCCCAGCUGAUGCCAUCAACACAACUAGGAAUCUCUUAGCACUCACCUGCAAGCAAAUCUCCAUGUAAGUGAUGAGACUGGAGCCAAUACACGAACAAGAAGGAUCUGGGGACUCCCAAGCUCCCUUCCAAAGCCAGCAGAGUUGUAUGAGCUGCUACCUUAGCAUCUCCUUGGAGCUGGGCCAGCACAUCAAGGGUGAAGAGGAGUUGAAUCCUGCCUUUAGCUCUGGCCCUGGUUUUCCACGUGGGGUUCCUCUUCCAAUGAAUGCAGCCACACACCACUCCAGAUGUUCAAAGAGGGACCAGCCUCCCACAGACCCUAUGGGAAUGAUGAACAAAAGGACAGUGAGCAACGACGUGUCUUCAAAUCUUCAGUUCACAAGCCACCAUGAGCUGUUUGCCCUGUACGUUAUAGGAAGCAAAGCAUAAUCUCAGCUGGGUCACAGGUGAACAAGUAGGUGCUGUUGCCCUCAGGCAGCUUGACGGGAUACCAUCACCUACUGGACACAGCGUGUUAAAGAUGAACCUCCUUUAAAAUAGCUAAUGACCUUCAGCCUGCUAACUCCAUGUGUGCCCAGCUGCUUGUUAGAGGUCAAGAAAUGCCUGGUUAAAAGCUCCUGCCCCAACUCCCACCCAGCAUGGCCAAGUCUCCUGAGACUUGCUUGGCAGCCCAACCACAUAUGGAGCUGAAUCACAGUACACAUUCCUCCACUGGGGUCCUCUCAAUGUUAGGAGACGACAUGGCCUGCCCCAAUGGACAUGGGAAUAGUUUUUCCAGAAAACAUAUUGACAUAUAGGAAGAAAGUUCUCUGCAUCAGCCAAUGCAGAGCCCUCAAACAGGGGUAGGAUGCAUCCAAACUUGUAUUAUUAUUAUUUAAUAAACAAGUUAUUGUGCCUUUUUCUUGAAUCCACAAUAGGAAAAAGGUAGAUGUGGCACCGAGGGAUAUGGUUAGUGGACGUGGUGGGGAUAGGUUGAUGGCUGGGCUAGAUGGAAAAGAUCUUAGCGGUCUUUUCCAAACUUAAUGAUUUUAUGAUUCUAUGAAGGAAUAAAUCAAACGGCUUUUUGCAUCCAUCAUCUCUUUAGACAGGACUUGCACAGUGCUCUCAGCUGCUGAAAAGCCUCACUAACCUAAUCUAAGUGAAAAUUUAACAAUCAAAUGGAGUUAUAAACUGCUAGUUAGAAUAGAACUUAGCUUUCACACCUCUGUUAGCUUUUCAUCAACCCUGCAAAAUUGCCACUGCCUGCAUGGACAGGAAUGGGUAAUAUUGUUUGAUGAAUGAAUAAAAUAUCAGGU